rnacentral:miRNA from 1 species
CAAUUCAUCCCGGCCCAUUCCA